UACGUAGGGUGCGAGCGUUAAUCGGAAUUACUGGGCGUAAAGCGUGCGCAGGCGGUUUUGUAAGCCCGAUGUGAAAUCCCCGAGCUUAACUUGGGAACUGCAUUUGGGACUGCAAGGCUAGAGUACGGCAGAGGGGGGUAGAAUUCCUGGUGUAGCAGUGAAAUGCGUAGAUAUCAGGAGGAAUACCGAUGGCGAAGGCAGCCCCCUGGGUCGAUACUGACGCUCAUGCACGAAAGCGUGGGGAGCAAACAGG
rnacentral:rRNA from 1 species